GGCCUCUGGCUCAGUGGUAGACUAUGUGCUUGGAAUUCACAAGGUUCCAGGUUCAAUACCUGUCAUCUCCC
rnacentral:tRNA from 1 species